UGAGCAGGAUAAAUGGUCGCGGGAGAAAUCCUGAGGAAAGUCCGGGCUUCGCAGGGCAGGAUGCCGGAUAACGUCCGGUGGAGGCAACUCCCAGGAAAGUGCAACAGAAAUAUACCGCCGCAUUUCGGUGCGGUAAGGGUGGAAUGGCAGUGUAAGAGACUACCGCCUGGCUGGUAACAGACAGGGCACAUGUAAACCCCAUCCGAAGCAAGACUAAUAGAAAGCAUAAGGUGGCCCGCCUGCUUUCGGGUAAGUCGCUAGAGCCUGUCGGUGACGGCAGGACCAGAUAGAUGACCAUUCACGACAGAACCCGGCUUAUCGUCCUGCUCAGCUG
rnacentral:RNase_P_RNA from 1 species